UUUUUCUCAUGGUCAGCGUAGCGUUCCUGCUCUGUGGAUUUCCACUUGAGGACCGGAGUGCAAACUGAUCCUGACACUUGCAGCAGUCUUUGCUGUGGUAAGAUGUCUUGCCUCCAUGGUGAGGCAGCAGAUUUGUUGCAGAGGUUGCAGCAAUUUUGCUUCGUGUUUUCACGCUCCCCCGACAGAGAUAGGAGUGUGCAUCAUAUGCCGGCGCUGACAAACAACUUUGGCUUUAAUUAACAAGGCAGCUUGGCUGCCCAUUGGCUGACACAUUCCACUGAGAGAGCUUUCUUAAUGCUAGUGGGACGUCCCUGGGCCUCGUCUCUCUCUCUCUCUCUCUCUCUCUCUCUCUCUCUCUCUCUCUCUCUCUCUCUCUCUCUCUCUUUCUCCAGGAUGUGGACCGGCUCGACCCCGUCCAUAUAACACUAAAUGAUCAAUCCUCUCUUUGUGUCAGCUGCUGCAUCACUUCUGUUCGUAUCCUUAGGUGGCCUUUGUUAAAUCCUGCUCAUGUGACGGCAGUAACAGGGGGGUUAGACACGUUAAACUACCAUGUUAGGACAACUAAUACUAUAUUUUAUAAUCUAAAUGGGGAUGUUUUAUAUUCACAGGGGGCUUCUUUGCCUUUUUUAUGUCGCUUUUGAAUAUUUCCUGUGUACGAAACCUUCUUUUAAGGUGUCAGUUUCUGGUUAGCAGUGUGACAGGAGGGUUAGUGAAGAUGGGUGGAGAACUGAGCUCUGAGUCCUGACAGGUCAGAUGCUCACAGGGAGACAGCAGCAUUCAGUGUCCAAAGAAAACCACCAUCUUUUCUUGGCGUAUUAUUUCAUCGACUACAUGAGUGGGUUAAUUUCUGUUCCUGUGUUUUCCAUGGCAUGGAGCAGAAAUGGUGGCGAUGAGAACAAGCUGCACAUUUGGCUUUCUAUUGUCUUUUAUUUCUCUCACCCUUUCCAUUUCCUCUCCUCUCCUCUCUUUCUUCCUUUCUUUCUUUCUUUCUUUCUUUCUCUGCGCUCGUAUGCACAGCCUCGUCCCCUCCUCCAUAUGUGAAGCACCAGCAGCGGCACAUACAUGUACAAAGAGCCGUGCCGGGGCCACACAUGCAUGUGGAGUUCACACACGGCUGCACAACACCCCGCCAUCAUACGUGUCCUGCCUGACACCGUGGGGGCCUCCUGUGGCAGAUCAGAAAAUAAAACAAGCUUCCAAUCCAGGACUUCUCUAGAUUUUAAUCGCCAGAGUUCGAUCCCACGCUCGCCUAAACGCCACCUUUUUUUCUUUUGCAUCCCACGACGACGCCGCGAUGCCAAGAAACGGCGGCAUACGUAACAAUUACCCUAAUUGAACAUUCCGGAGCAGUCUUGCAAAAUGGCUGCCGAGCCGGCGUGCUGUCUGUGAUGGCCGACAGGAGCGUGUAGGUCUGAGGCGUGUGCACGUAUAGCUGCGCACGUCUGUGUACAUAAUCAGCCUGCCUGGCUGCUGCAUUCCAUUUUUCUUUCUAUUUUUUUCCCCCUUAUUUAUUUUUUUAGUGAUUGCUUUGUGUCAUGAAAGUCUCUGCUACUGGAGAUCUCCGCUAAUCCUGACUGUAAUUACCCUCCUCGGUGUACCUCGACCGUAGGAGGCUUUAUGUCAAACUGCCUCGCACUAACAGUUGUGGCUGAUUACAUGACAGCCUGUCGAAAAAGAAAAAAAAAAGGACAGUGUUUACUGUAAAAAGAAAAACUCCGCUUCAGACGGCGGCGGCACCGUUCAGUUCCACACCUGGCGCCUUCAGCUUGCCCGACGCCGAGGUUUGUGAACGUGCUCUGCCAAACAGCUGACCUUGAUGUUUCUUUGCAGCUCUCUGCCUCCGCAGCCUCAGCGCCCCCGGUGGUCCGCCCGGCCAACGAGUCCCGCACCCAUCCAUCCCAGCAGCGAGCAAAAACAGGGCCGGGCCUGGCAACCUGCAGGAGUCAUCAGGGUUAGUGCUCCUUUGGCACGAGCCGGUGCCAGAAGCAUCCGCAAGCAUCUGGCAGGAACCUGUAAAUUUAUACGUCCGAACUCAAACCCAAAGGCCAGGCAAUCAAAAAACUGUAGAGCCAAGGAUCUGCGCAAGCUUUUUGUUUGAGCGACGAGCAGCCACAGAUGGAGGAGAGAGAUGGAGGAGGCAGAGCUGACUCCGAACCCCCUGGAGAUGAAGCAGUGAGGUGGAACCACUCGCCUGCUUCCCUGUGGAAACCAGAAAAAAAAAACCAGGAGAAAAACUCUUCCACCAUCAGAGCGCCAUCUGCAGACUCGGUGGGGUGGGACAGCUGGUGUUGUGAAUCAGGCCGCCACAGUCCACGGACCGGCUACUUCCCAACACCAGGGUCUCACCGUCGCUCCUCGCACCGCGUCCGUCCUCCACCUCGCCCUCCACCUCGUCCUCCACCUCGUCCUCCACCUCGUCCUCCACCUCGUCCUUCACCUCGUCCUUCGCCUCGUCCUUCUGGAACACUGCUGGGCUGUCUCACAUUUACAACACUUUUGUUUACAGUCUUAUUAAGUUUGUGCUGCAAUAAGAUGAUAUAAAAAAAGAAGCAAAGUUUAAAUAAAUGUAAAAAGAUGAGGAAACUAAAGCAUUAUGUCUGGCAGCUUUUUAAAAAUAUUCACAUAUGGAUUAAAAUGUUCUUAAAUGAAAAACAAUACAAUAAUUCAUGAGAUUAAA